GCUUAGUUGAGUUGAGUAUAUUUUAUUCCAUGUAACACUUUUGGAUAGGUAUUAUACUUUUUGUCAUCAAAGCAUAAAUCUAUUUUCAGAGUCAUAAUUCUGCUACCAAUUGUUUCCAAGUGCCAUUAAAGUCACAAAAUGAUUUGAUCUGAAAUUGAUGUGAAUCCACAUGAAACUAUCUUUGCUUACAACCAUGUUUCUUUCUAUGUUAAAAAUUCACCAGUAUUUCAAUCUCAAAUAGAAAAGAUGCAAGAAUGUGUCAUACAUAUGUUGACACAAGCAACAUCGCAGAUUAAAAUCACAUUUAU
rnacentral:misc_RNA from 1 species